UCUGCGAUAGCUCAUUCGGUAGAUCAUCCUCCCCUUAAGCGGAUUGUUGCCGGUUAGACUCCGGCUCGUAGAC
rnacentral:tRNA from 1 species